rnacentral:rRNA from 1 species
AUUGAACGCUGGCGGCAUGCCUUACACAUGCAAGUCGAACGGUAACGGGCCUUCGGGUGCCGACGAGUGGCGAACGGGUGAGUAAUGCAUCGGAACGUACCUUUCAGUGGGGGAUAACGUAGCGAAAGUUACGCUAAUACCGCAUAUUCUGUGAGCAGGAAAGCAGGGGAUCGCAAGACCUCGCGCUGAUUGAGCGGCCGAUAUCAGAUUAGCUAGUUGGUGAGGUAAAGGCUCACCAAGGCGACGAUCUGUAGCGGGUCUGAGAGGAUGAUCCGCCACACUGGAACUGAGACACGGUCCAGACUCCUACGGGAGGCAGCAGUGGGGAAUUUUGGACAAUGGGCGCAAGCCUGAUCCAGCCAUGCCGCGUGAGUGAAGAAGGCCUUCGGGUUGUAAAGCUCUUUCGGCCGGGAAGAAAUCGCACAGGUUAAUACCCUG